AUGUGUGUGAGAGUGCAAGAGCUGCAAUUUCAGCAUGAAAAAGAACAUUCCUAACGUAGCAGAUUUAUUUCAGCUUUUUUUUUUUUUCUUUGAAGGAUUAUAGGCCAUGAUCCUGUCCGCAGCAGGGAGCUGAACGAAUUUGACGUUUUGAUUCCCAUGAUUCAUCAUGUUAGAUUUGAUUUUUUAAAAACAUUUCUUAAAUGGAUGCAUAUAGCAAAACAUUUUUAAGAACUGCUCCUGGAUAUUUAACCUUUUUUUUUUUUUUUUUAUGAAAUGGAAAGUAAGAAUUGCAAUUUCAUCUGCAUGUUGUUUUUACCCAGUAGCUUUAGUAGCUUUUGCAGGGUAUUGAAACUAUUACAUGCUUAACUUGUGGGAAACAAAGUUGGAAUCAAUUUACCAGCUUGAAAAUAUGUUACAUUUUCGCUGCUGCUUUCGUGGUUUAGAUUGUAUUAAAACAUGCGAUGCUAAUUAUAGUGCCAAGAUCUGACUGCACUGUGUAUUGAGCCACAUCAGAAGCUGAUGUGUUUGCAGAUUGACAUCUCUCAGAAACCAGCAGGUAGCUUGGUGUGUGAAGCUCACGCUGUGUUCCAGAAAUUGUCUGUGGUCCGUUCCUGUCUCACCGAUUUUCCGUCUAAUAAUUGUUAAUUUGUGUCAAAAGCUGCCUCUCUCUUCACUUCACAAGCUCUUUCUGGAUGAUUUUCGGCAGCCAAGUCAAUCCCACUGUGCCCUGCUAUGAAUAUGCAUAUCUCUUCUUUGGUAUUUUCUCUUUUACUGGCAUGGAAAGUAAUGUAAUUAGUCACAUUUUUCAUGUUCUAUGCUUUGGCAGGUGCUUUGAGGCCUUUUUCUACUUUCCUGUGGGUUAGUUGGUGUGCAUGUGGGUGGAUUGUCAUGUGAUUGUGUAUAUGUGCACACACACACACACACCACGGUUCCAGUUCUUCACGAAGUUUCUUCGGUUUGGGAGAGACAGCUAAACAACCUGCCAGAUUUAGUCAUUAUCUCACUCUAUCCCCACCUUGAAAGUGCCUCUCCUUGUUUUCUUCUUUUAAUUUUUUUAUGGACUAAUUGUACUGAUAAGAUUAGAAGUAAUCUCCAUAUAAAUUGUGUUAUUAUAAGACAGAUUGUUUUGUUUUGAAAGUCAGCACAGAAUAUAUAAUAAUUUGCAGUGACUUGCAGAAAGCUGCCUCGACGUUUUAAUCAGUUUCCUAAUAAAUAACGACUCUUCCUCGAAAACGUGCUGAGCGACAUCCAUGAACGCCGCAUCAGUGGCGGAGUUUGAACAAUUCUGUUACAUAAAUGCUAAACAGGUAUAGCCACUAAAACAUAAUGCUAAAUAUAACUGUGCACCACAGUCUAACAAUUGAAGUCACAUCCAAGGCAACUUUCAAGCAGCCUUUUGAAAAGUUUGGAUGGGCAUUGAAGCAUCACUUGGCUGCACUGUCAUUUUAUACAAAAUUGGCCCUGUCUGUCCAACUUGGCUAUUUUUCUUUUCUUUUUUUUCUUUUUUUUUUUUUAAAGAACAUUAUGAAAAUGUAGACUGAGCGCAAAUUAUUCAGCUUGGCUGUUAGCUGGGUACUUGCCUGUGAGUCAUCCUCUUUUCACCUUGCUGCUUUUCACCUUUGACACACGUGUCGUUACUGCGGCAGCACAUCAGUAUUCAGCCGAAAGUUUGCUGUGAUCAGUAUGACACUCACGUCUGCCUUUCCAAAAUGAGUAAAAAAAAAAAAAAAAAUGCAAACUGGAAUGUGUUCGGGUGCUAUUUGCCAUUUUAUAUCACUUAGAGUGACAUAAAGCCCAACAACACCAUCAAGCUUUUAUGAAAUAAGAAUGCUGUGGUAGGCUUCUAUGGGUUAAAAGGCUGAUUUAUGGGUUUUUGUUGUUUUUUUCUUUAGUAGAAGUACUAUACUGUGAUAAUCAAUUUGAAAAUUAAAUUAAACUACACCUUUUAAUGUAGCGUGAAGGACAGUCUUGCACAUACACAUUGUGAAUUUCCCUGCUUGAGGACACAUGUGUGUACAUUGUGGUCAAAGGCAACACAACCUCAAACUUCAAGGAGGGGGAAAAGCCUGACUAGUCAGUUUGGAUUAAGUUUUAUUGCCAUUUUUUUCUUAGAAAAUAACAAGUUAUUUAAGAUUUACACAACUUCUAAGUUGCCCUAAAUUUCACGCUGUUGUCAUGCAGCUUCUUUUCUUGCUCUGCAUAUUGGCUCAUCUAAAAAUGCAUUUUAUAUGGGUCAGACUGAAAGUAAUUAGGCGCAUUUGGUGAAAAAUGAAAUCCUGUCACAUCUAUAAAGAAUGUGUGUCACUUAUGAUCUGUUUAUAAUGCAGAUAUUGGAUGCAUAAUGGGUGUGUGGCUACUGUGCCAGGAGACCUAAAGACCACCUGACCUUAUUGGGAUGGACGGUCAUUGUUUUCUGGAUCAUCUAUCAGCGAGCCAAGCGGUCAAAUCAACUGAAACGAUAAUAUUUCAUGUUUCUCCAUGUUAUUCUCAUCUUGCUUUUAUGCUUCUGUGUUACUCUGCUCCACCUGCCAAGUUAAAUCUCUGCUCAUCAGCUUCAUUCAGCCCACCUGUGCCAAGUCUAGUUGUCUACCUUUCUCAAGUUCUUGAAGUUCUGAAGUUCCUGAUCUCGCCUCAGUUUCUGCCUCCUUGCCAGAUUAUGGACUUUCUUGUGCCAGUAGUUGCCCAGCGUUGUGUCCUUGCCCUUGUUGUCUCCGGACUAUUUUUGACAGGACUCUACAACCUUUCUGAUGUUUUGGAUCACAGCCCACCCUCCGAACCAAACCUGCUCCCUUUUACGAGCUUUCCAGCUUCCUCUCCAGAACUGCAGAUUAUGCUGAGAGUCAAGCCCUCUGUACUGAAACAUUUCACUGCUGAUCGUUCCGCAGUAAAAUGCAUAAACAAAUAUAAUCUUUUGGCUGAACUUCUUUAUCAAGAUGUCCAAGCAUUUGACAUUCAGAGGUGAGUAAAUUUUCACUAGUUUCACAUAUUAAAAGAAUGAGGUAAAUAUUAUAGAGUCAUUUCUGCAACAUUGUUGCCUGCCUGCAAAUUUCAUCAAAGUGAUGGCUAUUUGAAGCAUAUAUUAUGUUUAUUUUGCCAGCAGUAGGUUUUCUUAGCUCUCUAAAAAUGUUACAGGUUCAGAUUUCUAGAAAUGUAAUGUUGGAGCUUUCGUUACUUUUUCUACAAAUUAUUGAAAUUCAGUGUACUUACACAAUAAAGUGACAAGUAAUGCAUUAAAAGUAAUUGGUUUUCUUGAAUUACUGCUGGCAAAGGCAGUAGAAAAAUUCCUUUAGCCAGAAAUUCUGGCAAAAGCAAUGACUAAAAUAAGUUUUCUAUUUUCAAACAUGUAUUUCCACAGAUUCAAACAACAUAAAAACUUGGUUUAAUCAGAAAAUAUGUUAAAUUGAAGGAUGUUAAGAAAAAAAAGCCUUGCUGUUGGUUCAGUUUUCCUAAAUCUUUUCAUUUUCCACUCUCUUUAUCCAGAAUAAAAAGGAGAUGAAAAUAAAAACCUUAAAAACAGAAAAGGAUUUUUCAUCUUUGUGCCUCCAGGCUACCAUUUCACCGAGUUCCAGAUUAAUUUUCUACCUAUUUCAGUCCAAUUUCUAAUUAAUCUAAAAUUGACGAUGCAUUAAUUACAUGUUUCUGUGUAAAGGGAGUAUCAACAACUGAGAAACCAAUCUAAUCUGGUAAUGAAUCAAACCGCCAUCAAUUAUCUUUACUAAGAUAUUUUCAAUGUUUAACUACCUGCAGAAAAUGAGCCAAGAGUCGACGCCUGGGCUAAGCAGCAGAUUAUUAUUGAACAAAUUUCUGCUGAAAAACUAAUUCAUGAAAUCUUUUGUAAAUGCUGUUUGGUUGGAACCGUGUGCAGGUCUAUAUGUGUGUAAAAUAUAAGUCUGUCUUUUCAUCCAACCCAAAGAAAGGCUUCAAAUAGGCCAAAAGCUUGGAACAUUUCAGACUGCACUGAGCGCUGCACCUCUGUUCCAGCAGGGCUUGAAACAGUGAUAAAAAAAAAAAAUCCCAUCACUUGCUUUUAAUCUUCAGUAUUAUCUCUCCUUAUCACACCAGGUCCCCAGUUACCACCAUGAAAAACCUGUGGGUGUCCCCUUUCUGAUGGGGGCUUUAAGGGUCAUUACCCAUGAGACUUUGCUUCCAUCCACCCCCAGAUUUAGAUCACUCCACUGGACUAGAAAUAGCCGCCCCAAGGUUCCUUGUCUUUCCAUCUCUCAAUCCCCUGCAGAGGUCACAUUUUUCAUUUUGGGCAAUUUGAAGCUUUUAAACCCUCCCCAUGAUCACUACCUCUCUGUUAUCUGUGCAUGUCUUUGAGUGACUGUGUGUUAAUUUUAAGCCUCUGCUUUGCUGAGAGCUAAGUCUGCUGCACCGGAAUGCACUCUUGUCUCUGCAGGACAUGCCGUUGGUACCCUUGGCCCGCUGUCCUGCCCUCACGGCCUGAGAGUUUUGCAUCAGUCUGGCUUCAAAGUCCUGUGUGCAAGAGUACACACAAUGACACAGAUACUACUGUGUCACAUACCAAGCCUCAUCCUUUCCUUUUUUUUUUUUUUUUUUUAAUCUGACUUUUCCCACCUUGGUCGCAACGCUUCCCUCUGACUGUAACUUGAAUUUUCUGCUGACUUGUUGCACAGGCUGGAAUGCGUGUUUACCUCAGCUCAGCUGUUUUAUGCUCUCCUGAGAUAGUUUUGUGCUCGUACACAAAAGAGUCCACUACAUUGUGCAUGUAUGAAAAGUGCAAGCUGUAAUGCUGCAAAGAGAUAAGGCCCUGUGUAAAGCUGAGGGAGCUAUAUCCAACAAGUCUGUCAGUUUAAAGGGUAAAAAAAAAAACUUCAGAGCCACAAACUAUUUUUUCUCCCACCAGAUAGACUUCUAUCUGGCUCACUUUCUAUUUCUCCCCAUAUCUUUCGUCUGCUGAAACCUUUACUGUCGAGACAUCCAGAGCUGUGAUGUCAGAGCAGGGACCAGUGAGAAAUUUGGCAUGCAAGAGGCACAUGAAUGAUUCAUACAGUGCAGUGUACAGAAACAGCUUGUGUGCAGAGUAUUUGUUUCAGUGACUGCCCAAACUUAGACCUAAGCAAAAGGGAGCCACUUGACAGACCUCUCACCCUGCAGGAGCUCACAAGUGUCCUGCUGCAUCCGUCCCCACGCCCCGCUCUCGCUACUGAAGGAAUUCCAGCAAACUUCUAAAGGCCUGUUUAUGGAGCUGUAGGGGGGGGAGUUGUGCUGGAUGAAGGCCACCCUGCAGCUGUCAUCACGCAAUGGUGUCAUUCUGAUUAAAAGUGGGCCUGCACGUUCGUCUGUGUGCUUGCAUAAACUCGUACUUGAGUUUAUGCACGGAUGUGUUAAGAGACGAGCAUUUUCCGAAACAGGACUCCAAGUGGAACAUUAAAUACGAGCUUGUCUAUUGUAAGAGAACAUAACUAUUUCAGUCCACAUGUCUCUCAAACCAGUUGAACAAUUUAAAUUAAACAUUGCAAUAGCUAUAUUCUUAAUUUGUCAUAAUAGAAAAGGGCAAUAAUAUUAAAGCUUCAGUAGGUUUAAAUUUAUAACGAUACGGUUCUAGAAAAAGUAGAUGAAAUUAUGAACAAUUUAAUCCAUAUUCAGAUCCAUACCUUUAAAAGUCACUGGUUAUUAAAAAUAGAAAUCCACAGGAUCUUUUGAAACUAUUCAAAGUUUUUGAAGUUUUUCAGAUUUUGUCAACAACUACAAAUUCUAACGUAUAUAAUGUAAAGUUUUACAUACUUUACAUUAUAUACUUUGUAAAGUAUGCAAAGUGUAUAAUACAUUUAUGCUUUGCAUACAGUAAAUAUGGCUGUGAAGGGUAAACACAAAUUAGUGAAGUGGAAGGAAAAUAAUUUAUCUUCCUGUCCACUUAUUCACUCUGAGCAACUAAUACUACAUGUACUACAUGUACUACAUGUGUUACAUGUAGUAAAUUCAGUGACAUGUAGUCACUGAAUUUACAGCUGCAAAUGCUUUUUUAGAAUACAUCUCAACCUGAAACUUUUUCCCACCCGUUUGCAAAAUUGCUCAAGCUUAGACUAGGCAGUAACUAGUUAGAUUUACUCAGUUACAUUUACUUGCCUACCUUUUUUUGAAAAUAUGCACAUUCAGGAGUGCUCUUACUAUGUUGUACCUUUUAUUUUCACUUGUGUAGUUUUAUUAUACAGUAUUGCAACUCUUACCUGAGUAAAAUUACUGAUAACAAUGAUAAUAGACUAUAUACAGAAAAUCUGCAAAUACCCUGAACCGUAUCCUACUAAAGUUGUAAAGAUGACAUUUAAGAAAAAAUUUGUCCCUCUGUAUUUACUUCUAAUCAAGAAGUUCCUCUGCUGUUCUCAUCAAUAUCUCAAGUCUUAAACUCUCAGCAUAUAAGAGAAGACUGCAUUUUUGAGGGUAAAAAGAAAUAUCUAUAUCCUAUAAAACAACAUUCUUGGAGUCUUAAAUAAGGUUGAUUUUUCAAAAACCCAAGCUUAACCCUACAAUUUACCUUAAAUCUUUCAACUUCACACUCAAAAAAAGGAUCAAGUAUAUUUAGAUAGCGGCUGGCCAUGUGGAAAGAGGUGAUAUUUAUUUACUGCUUAUGAGGAUUUCCUAUGACGACAUUGCUACAUGCGCUGCAUGACCG